rnacentral:rRNA from 1 species
UACAGAGGUCUCAAGCGUUGUUCGGAUUCAUUGGGCGUAAAGGGUGCGUAGGUGGCGCGCUAAGUCAGGGGUGAAAUUUCGGAGCUUAACUCCGAAACUGCAUUUGAUACUGGCGUGCUUGAGGACUGGAGAGGAGACUGGAAUUCAUGGUGUAGCAGUGAAAUGCGUAGAGAUCAUGAGGAAGACCAGUGGCGAAGGCGGGUCUCUGGACCACUACUGACGCUGAGGCGCGAAAGCUAGGGGAGCAAACAGG